GACGAACGCUGGCGGCGUGCUUAACACAUGCAAGUCGAACGGAAAGGCCCUGCUUUUGUGGGGUGCUCGAGUGGCGAACGGGUGAGUAACACGUGAGUAACCUGCCCUUGACUUUGGGAUAACUUCAGGAAACUGGGGCUAAUACCGGAUAGGAGCUCCUGCUGCAUGGUGGGGGUUGGAAAGUUUCGGCGGUUGGGGAUGGACUCGCGGCUUAUCAGCUUGUUGGUGGGGUAGUGGCUUACCAAGGCUUUGACGGGUAGCCGGCCUGAGAGGGUGACCGGCCACAUUGGGACUGAGAUACGGCCCAGACUCCUACGGGAGGCAGCAGUGGGGAAUAUUGCACAAUGGGCGGAAGCCUGAUGCAGCAACGCCGCGUGCGGGAUGACGGCCUUCGGGUUGUAAACCGCUUUCGCCUGUGACGAAGCGUGAGUGACGGUAAUGGGUAAAGAAGCACCGGCUAACUACGUGCCAGCAGCCGCGGUGAUACGUAGGGUGCGAGCGUUGUCCGGAUUUAUUGGGCGUAAAGGGCUCGUAGGUGGUUGAUCGCGUCGGAAGUGUAAUCUUGGGGCUUAACCCUGAGCGUGCUUUCGAUACGGGUUGACUUGAGGAAGGUAGGGGAGAAUGGAAUUCCUGGUGGAGCGGUGGAAUGCGCAGAUAUCAGGAGGAACACCAGUGGCGAAGGCGGUUCUCUGGGCCUUUCCUGACGCUGAGGAGCGAAAGCGUGGGGAGCGAACAGGCUUAGAUACCCUGGUAGUCCACGCUGUAAACGGUGGGUACUAGGUGUGGGGUCCAUUCCACGGGUUCCGUGCCGUAGCUAACGCUUUAAGUACCCCGCCUGGGGAGUACGGCCGCAAGGCUAAAACUCAAAGGAAUUGACGGGGCCCCGCACAAGCGGCGGAGCAUGCGGAUUAAUUCGAUGCAACGCGUAGAACCUUACCUGGGUUUGACAUGGAUCGGGAGUGCUCAGAGAUGGGUGUGCCUCUUUUGGGGUCGGUUCACAGGUGGUGCAUGGCUGUCGUCAGCUCGUGUCGUGAGAUGUUGGGUUAAGUCCCGCAACGAGCGCAACCCUUGUUCACUGUUGCCAGCACGUUAUGGUGGGGACUCAGUGGAGACCGCCGUGGUCAACUCGGAGGAAGGUGGGGAUGACGUCAAGUCAUCAUGCCCCUUAUGUCCAGGGCUUCACGCAUGCUACAAUGGCUGGUACAGAGAGUGGCGAGCCUGUGAGGGUGAGCGAAUCUCGGAAAGCCGGUCUCAGUUCGGAUUGGGGUCUGCAACUCGACCUCAUGAAGUCGGAGUCGCUAGUAAUCGCAGAUCAGCAACGCUGCGGUGAAUACGUUCCCGGGGCU
rnacentral:rRNA from 1 species